rnacentral:lncRNA from 1 species
AGGAUAUGACGUUGUUUUUCUGAUAGGAGGACUUAAUCAGAAAGGGAGGAGGGAAUCCUCUGUAUACCAGCAUAGUGAAGAAAACAGCACCAGAAACAAGACUGACUUUAAAAACACAACAUGAUGAUCAUUGUCUGCUGCAUAACCUUGAAUGUUAUACUGGUUUCAGGUUCCUCUCUAAAUGAACUAGUCUACCAGAAGCCAGCCCACACUUUCAACAAACCUGAAGGAGCAGCUAAAAUUGAGUGUUCAAAGUAUACAGUAUUCAAAAAUAUGAUACAAUCCUCUGGUACAAGAAAUCAAAGAGCAGACUGCUGCAGUUGCUUGGAUACAUGGUGGGAGGCAGUGGAUACCCAGAGACUGGAGUGAAGGUGAAGAUAGCAGGGAGUGCAAAUAAAGACCAAAACUGCACAUUAACAACUGAAGAACUCCAGCUGAACAGGAGUGCAGUGUACUUCUGUGCUGCUAGAUUACACAAUGCUACAUAUCACUGCUCCUCAGUACAAAAACCUCCACAACACAUGUUUUAUCUCACACCUUCUUGCACCUGUAUGCUUUAAUCAGACCUUUAUACAGAGGCAGCAGUGGUAGUUGACAUGAUGGUUGUAAUGUUAAGAGGAGGAGGAUACACUUAUGACACCACCCACCUCAUGCCUUCAUGUUGGUUUGCUGAUAGGAGGGUUUAUUUAAAGAGGAGGAUGGAAAUAAUCAUAAUCAUCUGCCGACACACUGAGAAUAUCUUUUGUAUCAACGAUAAAAUUAUUACCAAACACAAAAUACAACAUGAUCAUCUUAUUCCUAAGCAUUCAUUUGAACACUAUUCUGGUUUCAGGUAAUGUUAUCCUUAGUUGUUAACAUCUGUUUAUACUUUAGUGUUUUACAG